rnacentral:rRNA from 1 species
UAGGGAAUCUUCCACAAUGGACGCAAGUCUGAUGGAGCAACGCCGCGUGAGUGAAGAAGGCUUUCGGGUCGUAAAACUCUGUUAUUGAAGAAGAACGUGCGUGACAGUAACUGGUCAUGCAGUGACGGUAUUCAAUCAGAAAGUCACGGCUAACUACGUGCCAGCAGCCGCGGUAAUACGUAGGUGGCAAGCGUUGUCCGGAUUUAUUGGGCGUAAAGCGAGUGCAGGCGGUCUUUUAAGUCUGAUGUGAAAGCCUUCGGCUUAACCGAAGAAGGGCAUCGGAAACUGGGAGACUUGAGUGCAGAAGAGGAGAGUGGAACUCCAUGUGUAGCGGUGAAAUGCGUAGAUAUAUGGAAGAACACCAGUGGCGAAGGCGGCUCUCUGGUCUGUAACUGACGCUGAGGCUCGAAAGCGUGGGUAGCAAACAGGAUUAGAUACCCUGG